rnacentral:rRNA from 1 species
GACAUGCAAGUCGAGCGAGAAAGGGAGUUCGUCCCCGGUAAAGCGGCGCACGGGUGAGUAACACGUAGGUCAUCAACCCUCGAGUGGUGGAUAACCCUCCGAAAGGAGGGCUAAUACAGCAUGACGCUAGCAAUAGCCAAAGCGGGCCUCUUCAUGAAAGCUCGCGCUAGAGGAUGAGCCUGCGGCCCAUCAGGUAGUUGGCGGGGUAAUGGCCCACCAAGCCAGAGACGGGUAGCUGGUCUGAGAGGAUGAACAGCCACACUGGAACUGAGACACGGUCCAGACUCCUACGGGAGGCAGCAGUCGGGAAUCUUCCGCAAUGGGCGAAAGCCUGACGGAGCGACGCCGCGUGAGCGAUGAAGGCCUUCGGGUUGUAAAGCUCUGUGGGGAGGGAAGAAUAAGUUCAGGUCAAUACCCUGAAUGAUGACGGUACCUCCUUAGCAAGCACCGGCUAACUCUGUGCCAGCCGCGGC